CGUACACUCCUACGGGAGGCAGCAGUGGGGAAUAUUGGACAAUGGGCGCAAGCCUGAUCCAGCCAUGCCGCGUGAGUGAUGAAGGCCCUAGGGUUGUAAAGCUCUUUCACCGGUGAAGAUAAUGACGGUAACCGGAGAAGAAGCCCCGGCUAACUUCGUGCCAGCAGCCGCGGUAAUACGAAGGGGGCUAGCGUUGUUCGGAUUUACUGGGCGUAAAGCGCACGUAGGCGGACUAUUAAGUCAGGGGUGAAAUCCCGGGGCUCAACCCCGGAACUGCCUUUGAUACUGGUAGUCUUGAGUUCGAGAGAGGUGAGUGGAAUUCCGAGUGUAGAGGUGAAAUUCGUAGAUAUUCGGAGGAACACCAGUGGCGAAGGCGGCUCACUGGCUCGAUACUGACGCUGAGGUGCGAAAGCGUGGGGAGCAAACAGGAUUAGAAACCCUAGUAGUCCCAU
rnacentral:rRNA from 1 species